CUCAUUUUGAACCAGUUCAACUCUACUGAUUUUGCAAAAGGCACUAUCUUAAAGUGGUUAGAAAAAUUCUGCACCAUAACAAUGAUUGUUCCACUUGAUACAAUUUUAUCACCUUUAUCCAAACUGCAGUUUGCUGUUAAGUGUACCUUAAGUGUUCCAAUGAGAUGAUAUCCCUAUCAUCUGAUGUAAUACUGAUUUUAGGCUCCCCUGCAUAACUAAUGAGCUUUUAUAAAUCUUCACCUGAAA